rnacentral:rRNA from 1 species
GAUGAACGCUGGCGGCGUGCCUAAUACAUGCAAGUCGAGCGAACAGACGAGGAGCUUGCUCCUCUGACGUUAGCGGCGGACGGGUGAGUAACACGUGGAUAACCUACCUAUAAGACUGGGAUAACUUCGGGAAACCGGAGCUAAUACCGGAUAAUAUAUUGAACCGCAUGGUUCAAUAGUGAAAGACGGUUUUGCUGUCACUUAUAGAUGGAUCCGCGCCGCAUUAGCUAGUUGGUAAGGUAACGGCUUACCAAGGCAACGAUGCGUAGCCGACCUGAGAGCGUGAUCGGCCACACUGGAACUGGGACACGGUCCAGACUCCUACGGGAGGCAGCAGUAGGGAAUCUUCCGCAAUGGGCGAAAGCCUGACGGAGCAACGCCGCGUGAGUGAUGAAGGUCUUCGGAUCGUAAAUCUCUGUUAUUAGGGAAGAACAAAUGUGUAAGUAACUAUGCACGUCUUGACGGUACCUAAUCAGAAAGCCACGGCUAACUACGUG